CAGGGUUAAAAAAACUUUUUAUCAGCCAGAGGUUAAUGCAAGUGUUUAGCAGAUGCUUCACAAUUAAAAUAUUUUUUCCCUUCAAGUCUUAAAUAUUGAAGAAUCUCAAACCAGGGACACCAGCCCCAACGAAACACCUUGGGCGAUUUCAAAGCGCAGGCACCUCGAUUCCCCGAAUUUGUGGUGUGGCCGGUAUCGGUGUUCCCUUGGUUUAACUAGCCUGUCUGAAGGCGAAGAUCAUACUUGGGCAAGUACAACCGAAACCAGUCCUCCCCUGGCCCCUCCACCCCAAGGGUCUUCAUUUUCCCAAUCUACAUCUGCCUGUGACUCCAGAAAGACAAGCUUCAGAUUGGCCAAGUCCUUUCUGGCCCAAGUCCGGAGCUCUGGAAGGUCAAAGUCUAGCUGCUGGUGUCAUCUCCAAGCCCUUGGUUGUCAAUCCUGAGACAGAUUGGAAUUUCCGCUCAAGGCUUGAUCAACUCACAAUUCUCCAAGUUGGAGGUGCAUCCGGGAGAUGGCAGCAGGUGGUGAAAGUGUGACCCCCACUUUGUCUCCAGGCCCAGCUUAAAUUCCACCUCCUCCAGGAAGCCUUUCCAGCGACUGGAGCUAGUAGAGGAGUUGGACGUCUUCCAUUAGGCAACAGAACUUCAUCUCCACGCCCUAGAGAGAAGCAGGGAAGGCUUCCUCCGGAUGGAUCGCGCUUGCAAGGGGUCUCCGUCAGCCGUCGUUGGAUCCGAGCGUGGGACACCCAGCCCCAGCCUGGCCUUCCCGGGUCGCCCCUCUCCACGUCCUGAGCUCCCGAGUCAGAGCUGGGCAGGGCGGACUCUGGGCUUCCCACGGACUGGCUGCGCGACCUCGGACAAGCUCCUCGGUCUCUCUAAGCCUUAGUUUCCCCAUCUGAACAGUGGGGAAUGACACCGACCUCGAGAGUGUGCAGGGAAGGUUAAACGAGAUGAAGGUGCACGAAAGAUCGAGACGCCUGACGCACAGGCUGCGCUCAAUAAAUGUUUAUGCAUUUUCUCUUCCCGUC